rnacentral:rRNA from 1 species
UACGAAGGGGGCUAGCGUUGUUCGGAAUCACUGGGCGUAAAGGGUGCGUAGGCGGGUUUUUAAGUUAGGGGUGAAAUCCUGGAGCUCAACUCCAGAACUGCCUUUGAUACUGAAGAUCUUGAGUCCGGGAGAGGUGAGUGGAACUGCGAGUGUAGAGGUGAAAUUCGUAGAUAUUCGCAAGAACACCAGUGGCGAAGGCGGCUCACUGGCCCGGUACUGACGCUGAGGCACGAAAGCGUGGGGAGCAAACAGG